rnacentral:rRNA from 1 species
UAACAGAGAGAAGCUUGCUUUUCUGCUGACGACCGGCGCACGGGUGCGUAACGCGUAUACAAUCUGCCUUAUACAGAGGGAUAGCCUUUAGAAAUGAAGAUUAAUACCUUAUAGUCUAUUUUUAUAGCAUUAUAUAAAUAGUAAAGCUUCGGUGGUAUAAGAUGAGUAUGCGUCCUAUUAGUUAGUUGGUAAGGUAACGGCUUACCAAGACAACGAUAGGUAGGGGCCCUGAGAGGGGGAUCCCCCACACUGGUACUGAGACACGGACCAGACUCCUACGGGAGGCAGCAGUGAGGAAUAUUGGACAAUGGAGGCAACUCUGAUCCAGCCAUGCCGCGUGCAGGAUGACGGCCCUAUGGGUUGUAAACUGCUUUUAUAUAGGAAGAAACCUUUUCACGUGUGAGAAGCUGACGGUACUAUAAGAAUAAGGACCGGCUAACUCCGUGCCAGCAGCCGCGGUAAUACGGAGGGUCCGAGCGUUAUCCGGAAUCAUUGGGUUUAAAGGGUCCGUAGGCGGGAAUCUAAGUCAGUGGUGAAAUCUUGCAGCUC